CGAACGGGUGAGUAAUACAUCGGAACGUGUCCCGUAGUGGGGGAUAGCCCGGCGAAAGCCGGAUUAAUACCGCAUAUGCUCUACGGAGGAAAGUGGGGGACUCGCAAGGGCCUCACGCUAUGGGAGCGGCCGAUGUCCGAUUAGCUUGUUGGCGGGGUAAUGGCCCACCAAGGCGACGAUGGGUAGCUGGUCUGAGAGGACGGUCAGCCACACUGGGACUGAGACACGGCCCAG
rnacentral:rRNA from 1 species